rnacentral:sRNA from 1 species
AUUUCCCAUUGCCCUUCAUUGAUCAUAUGCUAGAAAGAUUAGCAAACCAUCCUUACUAUUGCUUUUUGGAUAGUUAUAGCGGAUUUUUUCAAAUCCCUAUUCACCCAAAUGACCAAGGAAAAACCACUUUCACUUGUCCUUAUGGGACCUUUGCUUACAAGCGUAUGCCUUUCGGUCUCUGUAAUGCACCAGCUACUUUUCAGCGGUGUAUGACUUCUAUUUUCUCGGAUUUGAUAGAGGAGAUGGUAGAGGUAUUCAUGGAUGAUUUUUCUGUGUAUGGCUCUUCCUUCUCCUCGUGUUUGUUGAACCUGUGCAGGGUACUUAAAAGAUGUGAAGAGACAAACCUGGUGCUGAACUGGGAGAAAUGCCAUUUCAUGGUUAGAGAAGGCAUCGUUUUGGGCCG